rnacentral:rRNA from 1 species
UACGUAGGGUGCAAGCGUUGUCCGGAAUUAUUGGGCGUAAAGAGCUCGUAGGCGGUUUGUCGCGUCUGCUGUGAAAACUCGGGGCUUAACCCCGGGCCUGCAGUGGGUACGGGCAGACUAGAGUGCGGUAGGGGAGACUGGAAUUCCUGGUGUAGCGGUGAAAUGCGCAGAUAUCAGGAGGAACACCGAUGGCGAAGGCAGUUCUCUGGGCCGUAACUGACGCUGAGGAGCGAAAGCGUGGGGAGCGAACAGG